UACGUAGGGGCAAGCGUUGUCCGGAAUUACUGGGCGUAAAGGGCGCGCAGGCUGUUAUGCGAGUCUGCCGUGAAAUAUACCGGCUCAACCGGUGCCUUGCGGCGGAUACUGCAUAGCUGGAGUACUGGAGAGGGAGGUGGAAUUCCAGGUGUAGUGGUGAAAUGCGUAGAGAUCGGGAGGAAUACCAGUGGCGAAGGCGGCCUUCUGGACUGACACUGACGCUGAGGUGCGAAAGCGUGGGUAGCAAACAGGAUUAGA
rnacentral:rRNA from 1 species